rnacentral:antisense_RNA from 1 species
CGGGACGUGACAGUUUAGGCUGGGAGCAGAAAUAAUCAACACGCCCAUUAGAUACAGGAUGGAAUAAUGCUUCUAUUGGUUGGGUCCCUUCGAGGACAGAAGAGCUCCUUGGCACUGGAUGCCUCCGGGUCUGGUUGAGAGAGGAAUGGUUAGGAGAUUGUUCUGAGGAUAUGCAGACAUCAUCCAAAGCUUCCUACAUUCAGAUGAGGACAGAGGUUGGGCUAGAGCUUUGUAUGCUUGUUACCUAAGUAUGGUUCUGACCAUGUAAGCAGAUCACAGAAGAGCCAGCCUUGACAAUGUGCUGAUGGCAACCU